GUGCAGUCGUGCAGUUUCCUUACUCUGGGUGUUUGGUUGGUCGCCGUCGGGCAGGGCGCACGAAGCUCGCCAUUGCAAAGCGUAACGCGUUGUCUUCAAAAACACUCUUCAUAGCAUCGGUUACCUGCGGGUACAAAAACCUCCGAGACACGAAAGCAAAAUGGCCGAUCCUGCAACCCUUGUUGCUGUAGGAGGAGCAGUGGUGGGAGCAGCCGGUGCACUGGUGGCUGCACCCGCCAUACUUGCAGCAGCUGGUUUCGGAGCCGCCGGUGUGGCAGCUGGCUCAUUCGCUGCAGCUGCCCAGGCCACCAUGGGUGGCUUCGUGGCUAAAGGCAGCAUGUUUGCAAUUUGUCAGAGCUGGGGUGCAGCAGGCCUUCCCCUUGCCGCAAAAGGUGUAGCUGCCGCGGCUGGUGCGUGGCUUGGCUACAAUGUUGCCGACUGAACCACCUACGCAAAAUGCACUGAUUGGUGUCAGAGGUGCUACUUGAAGCCCAAUAAAAUUAUAGAAAAUUCAACCCUUCA
rnacentral:lncRNA from 1 species